rnacentral:tRNA from 1 species
UUAAUUGAAACCAAAAUAGAGGUAUAUUAUUGUUAAUAAUAAAAGUGAAUUCUAAUUCCAAUUAGA